rnacentral:rRNA from 1 species
UAAGGAAUAUUGCUCAAUGGGAGAAAUCCUGAAGCAGCAACGCCGCGUGGAGGAUGAAGGGUCUAUGACUUGUAAACUCCUGUAAAGAAGGAAAAAAUUCCCAUUAGAUGGGAGAUGAUGGUACUUCUGGAGUAAGCCCCGGCUAACUACGUGCCAGCAGCCGCGGUAAUACGUAGGGGGCAAGCGUUGUCCGGAUUUACUGGGUGUAAAGGGUGCUCAGGCGGAUUUGUAAGUCAGAGGUGAAAUCUUACAGCUUAACUGUGAAACUGCCUUUGAUACUGCAAGCCUAGAAUAUGGAAGAGAGUGAUGGAAUAUCUGGUGUAGCAGUGAAAUGCGUAGAUAGCAGAUAGAACACCAAUGGCGAAGGCAGUCACUUGGUCCAUUACUGACGCUAAAGCACGAAAGCGUGGGUAGCAAACA